UCAUUUUUUCUCUUCUUUCUUAUUAUGAUUUCUAUUUGUUUAUUUCUUUAAUACGAUUGUGACUUUUUUCUUGUUUCUUUUUCUCUGAAAUCAAUUGUGACGAUUAGUUAAUUGUUCUAUUUUUAACUUACUGUGAUUAAGGAGAAUUAGAAUUAGAAUGUUGAAUUUACCGAUUAGAUUAUUUCUGUGAAUUUACGAUGUUGAUUUGUUUGUUAUUCUUUGUUAGGCCUAAGGGUUAUUGGUUUGAUUUUCUAUUCUUUUUCAUUUCAUUUCCUCUUCAGUUUUAUUAACAUUAAUUAUCUAAUAUUUUGUUUACUCUCUUUCACCUUCUAUUUAUCCUAAUUAAGAUGAUUAUAGGAAUUUAUUUUAUAAUCAAUUCUUAAAUCAAUUUAAUUUUUCUUCUUCCUCUUUUUACUUUAUUCUCUCUUCCUUGUUGUUAUCCUUCCUGUUUGUCUUUAGUAUUCAUGAUGAUAGAAAAGUGUCCCAAUGACCAUGACCAAUUUUUUUCUUUUCCAAUAUUUUCCAUGAUUUUUGUUAAUCACGAUUAAGUGGAAACGUUUAGCGAAGUUACUGUUAAACGACUGCUAAUGAUUUACGCCUCGAUACAAUCUAAUUAACCUUCAACUGAAUCAAAUUUAAUUCUCCUUGAAAGAAUUAGAAUCAUCAGAGGAUCAAUGUUUUCCUUCAAUGGCGAUCAUUUCCCGAAAAGAGAAUCUGUCUCAUCAUGUAUAAGUGAAAUUCAACAAUAAUUUACAUGAUAUUUGGAGAAUUCAAAUUGUGAAAAAUAAUUACAAAAUCAAUGGUGUAUUUAAAUAAGCAAAAUGGUGUUUAUUUGCAAUUUACUUCAUUACAUCUCGUUUGAUUGGUUAUCAACUUCAGGAAAAUGAGCUGAUUUCAUCUAAAAGGAAACAAGAAGAAUGAAAAGAAAAGUCUUCUUUGGCUGUUGAGUUUAUGGCUUUAAUUGUCAACGAGUAAUUAGCUAUUUGAAGAGAUUCGACUAUUUGAAUUGUUGAUCAUUUUGUACAAACCAAUAUACAUAAAUGUUAACAUGAAAUCAAGAAAGAUGAGGAACAUGUUGCGUUGAAAGAAAUCAAGAAUCAUACCAAAGUGGAUCAUCGUCGAUUCUUGUAAAUUAGAAUCACUUCCGAUUAUGAACAAAAACAAAACAAAAGUAAUAACACAAAUUUGAUGACACUUAGAAAUUUGGAAUAACAAUGGGAGAAUGAUUAAUGUCAGUAAUUAAUCUUGAAGCGAAGAAAGAAACAAAGAAGUGAGAAAAAAUUCCAAAAAGCUUCAGAGAAAAUGGAAUUCAUAUUAAAGAUGAAAUAAUACACAGAAUAUAAGAAAAAGGAGCCAAAUCGAGUCAAUGGAGAACAAUUUAGUUUACUGAAUGAAGAAAACGAUGAAAUGAAACGAUUGAGUUGAAGGAACCAACGGUAAAAGUGGAUCACUGAAAAUGUAAGGAACUGUAAUCACUUUUUGAUAAGUUGGAUAAUCUCAAGUGAGUUAAGGUGAGUUAAAGAUAAUCUCUCGAGGACAUCGUUAAGGUUGAAUCUGAUUUUCCAAUUCUUACUAUCAGAGAAUCGUUUACCUCCAUGAUGUAAUUUGGUUAAUUGAGAUUUUCUUAUACUUAAUGAACCCACAAAAAAAUCUGUAAGAGAAAUAAAAUAAAAAACUAUUAACAAGGAUACAAAAUAUUUCCUAUUACAAUCAUAACAUUAUCAACGUUUCAAUGGAUGGUUAUUUGAUUUCUCAAAUAUUAUCAUGUAAAUGUCUUGAGGCAACAAAUUAUCAAAUUUUUUCUUCUGUAAAGAUAAAAAUAAAUUCAACUAAUCACCUGAAAAUUUCACAUUCAAUGUCACUUUCUCUUAAAAUGAAAAAUUUGCAAGUCUCAUAAACGAUAAUCAUUAAAAUCUCUUCCGAGUUUUCUUACCUUGAUCUCAUUAGGAAAUUGAUUUGAUUAGGAGAUUUCAAUUGUUCCAUUGGAGCAAAAGAGAUGGAAUCAAAAAGAUCAACCAGAUAGAAGAUAAAUCAAAUUGAAUUAGUUUCAUUCUCAAUUGUAAACAUAAAAGUUUCGUUUCUGUGGGAAUAUAGAGUAAGUAUUGACGAUAAUUCAGGCCAAAGAAUAAUAAACAAAUCGAGAGAGAGACACGAAUAUAUUUGAAUAUUUCAUGGUUCCAUUAAUAAAUGUAUCUAAAUAUUUAGGAGAAAAAUUUUUACUUACUUGAUUAUCCAAGAAAAUAAUUCAUUUCCAUUGAAUAAAUAGAUGAAAGUUAAUCACCCAAAACAGUUUCCAUGUCACAUAGCGACAAAGUCACUCGAUUCCAAGUGAAUAGAAACAAACAUGAUGAGAGAGUAAAGGAAAGAAAAUGAUGAGAAUUGAGAAAGUAAAAACAUUUCUAAGAUUAUCCAUUAAACACUAAUAAAAACAACAAUUAAACCCAAAUGUUUACACUAAAUAAAAAUCGGAAAUGAACAUGGAACCAUUUUCAUUGCAAUUGGAAUCACUGAAUUGAUUAGACUUCAUUUUUUUCACUGACAAAAUUUUUACAGAGGAAAAUUGAACUCACCCAAUUACAAAUGAGACUUUCUCAUUACGAGAUUUAUUUAUAAAUCGAGUCUAUUUUUAACUCUAUUUCAUGGUAAACACUGAGAAAAGAACAAAUUUCAUAGACAAAAUUAAAGAAGAGAAAUAUUUUCUUGCCAAGAAAUGAAAAGAGAAACUAAAACCAAGAUGGCGAAGUGAAGAAAAAGAGAAGAGAACAAAAAAUGAAGAUAGAAAAGAACAAAAUGUUUUCUCUUUUCUCUGUUCACUUUGUCUCUUGUUCUUCAUUGUCACAGUUCAACAUUCAAAUUAAUUCUUUCAAUUAAAUUUAAAUUUUUCUUCUUUUUAAAUUAACUAAUCAAUUUUUCUUCUUCAUCUCAAUUAAUCUGAUUGAUCCGAGUGUUUCUUUUUUCUGAAUCUAUUACAAGAUUAUAUGGAUUAAACUACUUGUUGAAUGUUCUUCUUCUUGUAAUUAAUUACAUUUUUUGUUCUGUUUGUUGGUCAUGUUGAUUGUUCUUUAUUGUUAAUUGUGUUAUUUGAUUUAAUCACAAUCAUGGAUUGUUAUACUUGUAUUAAGUGGUCAGUUGUUUCUCUCCUAAUUUCCAGUUCAAUUGUUUAUUUAAUCGCUUAUGGAUUAGCUGUUCCGUUGGUUGAAACUCAUCUUAUUGAGUUUCAUAUGUUUUACCUGUUAACCCUUUUUACUAAUUUUUUUGGUAUUUAUGGUACAAUUAAGGAAAGAUAUUGUUACCUUUUCUGUGUAAUCUUUAAUCUAAUCUCUUUAUUCAUCAUGUCAAUCCUUGUAAAUCUACUUAAUCUUGGUUUGUCCAUUUUCUAUUGCCUUGUUAUAUCUGAUGUGAUACUUUUUGCUAUUUGUGUUAAAAACUGUAAUGAACCGGACUAUUGAUUAACCAAAUCAUUAAUAUUAAUCAUUCUUCAUCUUUAUCACAAUAAUCAUGAUCAUCAACUUGAAACAAUCAGUUAACUGUAUUAAUCAUCAUUGGUUUGCUUAAUCCUGAAUGAUUUCUUAAUCCAAAUAAGAAAAAAAAAUGAAAAGACGAAACAAUCAACUCCAUUGAAAAGUGAAUCGUUUAUUGUUUUAACAUGAGGGACAAACAAUUGCUCUCAUUGUUAUUAUCGGUGUUAAUUGUAAUUAAUUUCUUUCAUUUAAAAGAAAACCACAAUUAUGAUUCCACAUAAAAAUAUGUAUGGAUUUGUAUGUGCAUGGAAAAACAAAGUGUGUAUUUACCCAUUGAAUUAAAAGAUUGUUAAAAUUAA